UAUGUAGGCGGAUCGUUAAGUCGGGGGUGAAAUCCCGAGGCUCAACCUCGGAACUGCCUUCGAUACUGGCGAUCUUCGAGUCCGGGAGAGGUGAGUGGAACUCCGAGUGUAGAGUUGAAAUUCGUAGAUAUUCGGAAGAACACCAGUGGCGAAGGCGGCUCACUGGCCCGGUACUGACGCUGAAAUACGAAAGCGUGGGGAGGCAAAACA
rnacentral:rRNA from 1 species